ensembl:lncRNA
CAAGAACUCAACAAGGGCUAGCACAGGAAGUGAAUGUGAUUGGGAAGAAAGUCUUAUAUAUAUCAACAAAGGUAAGUUGCAUGCCAGACAAAAUUGCAUGCCAGACAAUAGAAGAGUAUGUGGGUACUUUGUUUUAAUUAUAUGUAAUGUUGAAUCCCUUGCUACUGUAGUAACAAAUGUGUAACAUGAUUUUCUAAACUACUUUUAGAAAGCAUUAUCUGAUUUUGCUAUAUUUUAAUUUGUUUAAAUGGUUUUACCUGCUACCUGCCCUAGCUAAAAAGUGACUUUUUCAUUUAUUUAGUUGUUUUGAAUUAAUUUUUUGGUUAACUUUUUCUUAGAUCUGGUUGACUCUGACAGCGAAUCUGAUCUGCAUCUUCAUCUAACUAGUCCAUGCAGUUUGUCUGAAAAGAACAAAGAGAAACAGAAAUUUAGUGGAAUAAUACAAAUCUCAGAUAACAAGAGAAACAGAUUUAAAAAUUGUUGCAAAGCCUGUUCUCAGCUGAAUGCACAACAGUUAGAGAACACAAAACAAUUCCCAGUGGUGGUAUCUUCAGAAUCUGCAUUGUGUUUAAACCUAAAGGAUUACUAUACAAUUGAUCAUCCACUAAAAGUUUAUUUAUCUGAAAUACCUGCAUUCCCAUCCAAGCAUGCUCAGUCUUGUAGAGACCACCAGUGUUUAAACAGUAGAUGUCCUCAUGCAAGUAUUUUUAAGAAGUUAAAAAGAAAGAAAAACUUUUAUACAAUUAAGAAAGCUUAUGCAUUUGAUAAGCUACAUAAGAAUCAUCUAUCCAAUGAUUAUCUUCCUACUUCAAAGAAGAACAAAGCUGUGCAAGUUUCUUUUCCUUGUAGAGAAACAGAAGCUGGAGAAAAUAUUCCCCCUGAAUUUUUCAGCCAAUCAGUAGUCCCUGCUGAGAUAAGCAAAACUCCAGCUGAGCAUCCUAUAGAAUUUCACAGUGCUGAAAGUAUUUACAGUAAAAACACAAAUUCUAGUCAACCAAUAACAGACAAUUUAGAUUACUCUUCAGAAAUAAAUUAUAAAUCUGACAAUCCCCAGAUAGCUGAUAGAACCUGCUCAAACACUGAUUCUAAAAAACUCGUUAUCUGCUUGACACUAGAAGCAGUGUAUGGCAGUCUUGGUGAUUCCUUGGAAGAAAACUGCACCUCUUCAAAUGCUGGGGUGAGCAAAGAAGAUUCAGAGAGGCAUACUUUAGCUUUUAAAUUGGAAGACCCUGAACAUAAACAGCUGUUUAAGAAGCUGCGCAUUUUUAUUGUUCCAAGUUCUGAGUCUUUAGAUACAGAAAGGCAUAAUCGGAUUGGAUCUUUCACAAAAGAGGCAGGACUUUCAGAGACUCCAGCAGAUGAAGGCAAACAGCUUAUAACAAUCCAUAUUGAAUCUUCUGAAUCUAGCCAACUUCAAGCAACCUGGACAGAAUCUUCAGAAUCCAGUCGUUUCAACUUUCACAUUGAUCAAAAUCUUUCUAAACAACUGCAGACAAAUCAGUCUUCUCACUUUGUCAGGUUAUUGCCCCAUUGCAAGGUUAUACCUAUUUGUAGAACUUCCAAAGUUCAGAAAGCUCAACCAAAGGCAUCCAGGAAUGUAAAUUCAUUUGUGUUUACCAAAGGCAAGAGAGUGCAAAAUCCUCCAAAGUUUCAAGUUGAGCAUUCUGUCUCCCCAAAAUUUCAUUGGUCCAAGGAUUUGGAUAAUGAAUCGAUAAAUCAAAGUACUCAAAAAUCAAAAGCAAUAGAAAUAAAUGAGCUAUGUUAUGUUCUACUAUCGGAGACUCCUAAAUGUUACUGCAGCCCAUUGCUUGACUUGGCUGUUGACUUAUAUUGUGAAGGAAAAUUUUCAAAGAAAUUCCCAAGUUUCCACAGAAAAUGUGACAUACAAACAACAGGUGCCAAAUUAACACAAAGAUUUUCCCCUCAUUGCGUCUUAAAUCAUAGAAAAGCUAAUUUUAACAGGCUUCAAUACAUUUCUCCAGUAAGAAAAAAAAACAAUUUGAAAAUGCAAAGAAUAUUGAACUAUUGUCUAGGAAGGACUGAAGAUCAGCAGGUGCACUGGAAUCAUGAAGGAAAGGUUUGUUCUGCUCCAGGUGCUGCAAGUACAGGGAGGAAUGGGAUUGUUACUUCACAUCCCACAACUGAUGGGAGUUGCACUGUACCUGUCCUCCCAGGUUCAAGNGAUAGUCCAGUUUCACCACCUAGUAUGCACUGUCUUUCAGAUGAGAGGAGACAUUCACCUAUUCCCUGUUUACACAGUGAGACAGGCCGUCCUGCAUCUCAGCAUUUUAUUUCAAAUGAAAAGAUACUUUCUUCUACUCCCUGUACACAAACUGAAAGGAAUACUUGGAAUCCAGCAAUAUUGCAUGAUAAAUGUAAUAUGUCUCAUUCUCCNUGUCGUGCAAAAAUUGUUCAAGUAGUGCAGCCACAAAAACAAAGGAAUAUGUUUAAGAAUACAGAAAUGGAGAAGUUGGAUUUUGGAGCUACCCAGGGAGUUGGUGGAGACUUAGUCCUCAAGAAGUUUUCAUUCUGCCCAUGUGGAAUUAUGCCACAGUCCAGCUUGUUUCCUGGUAAAGAUAUGUCAGAAUCCAUUAGAGCAAAUCCUGUUGUUAAUCAGACACCCAAUACGAUUGAAUUGGACCAACUGAAUUCUUCUGUAGGGACUUUCAGCACUGAACACGCCUGCUGUGCUAGUAGAUGUUGUGUCUCUCCACCUAGUUCUCCACACAAUAUAGACAAAGAAGAAGCAUCAAGAAACCACUUCAUUAAAGUACGGUCCUACUUUGAGAAUGGGUUACCCAAGAAAAACCUCAAUGAAGAUUUGGCCCAUAGAAGUAAAGCAGAAAAAACAGGUGAAAGAAAAAAUGUUAGGUUCCAUAUAGGGCCUGGUUUAAAAGAGGUUGGUCCAUUAGGCACGUACACUGCAUCAUCUAAUGAUCAAAUUCCAAAACAUUUUGUUUAUCACACUGAAUGUUCAUGUUGCUCAUGCUGCCAGUCUCCUGUUCAUGAAUCCCUUGGAACAUCAAAAGAAAUACAUAAUGGUUUCAGCUCAAGACAUGACAUGCUUAAAAAGUGCCUAAACAGAGAUAGUAUUUUUCUGAUAGAUCCUGGUGAGGCAACUAGAAGUCAAUGUAAAUGUUCUCAAGAAAUUCCUCUUUUCCACAUCAACCAAACUGCUAUGCAUAAGGGGAAAAGAGCAGUGACUUCCAAGAGGAAGGAGUCUGACUGUGUUCAGGGUUCUUCACAAAUUAAUUGUGGCGGGAAAAGACAUGAUGACAACUGCAGAUGCUGCUCAGGCAAAGUUCAGUACAUUCGUUUGCAAUGAAAUGGCAGUGAUUUAGAUGAUGAGAGACACAUGUAUGUCGGUGCUUUCUUUAGAUAGAUCCUCCAUAAAUAAAACACCACUAAAGACAGUCA